rnacentral:tRNA from 1 species
CGGGGUGGAGCAGCACGGUAGCUCGUCGGGCUCAUAACCCGAAGGUCGCAGGUUCAAAUCCUGUCCCCGCAACCAAA